UUGGAGGGCAAGUCUGGUGCCAGCAGCCGCGGUAAUUCCAGCUCCAAUAGCGUAUAUUAAAGUUGCUGCAGUUAAAAAGCUCGUAGUUGAAUUUCGGGACCAAUAUGUCGGUCGUGCCUCGGUACGUACUGGCAUCGUUGGUUUCUCCCUUCUGAAGAACCAUGAUGUCAUUUAUUUGGUGUCGUGGGGAAUCAGGACUGUUACUUUGAAAAAAUUAGAGUGUUUAAAGCAGGCUCACGCUUGAAUACAUUAGCAUGGAAUAAUGAAAUAGGACGUUUGAUUCUAUUUUGUUGGUUUCUAGGAUUGACGUAAUGAUUAAUAGGGAUAGUUGGGGGCAUUAGUAUUCAAUUGUCAGAGGUGAAAUUCUUGGAUUUAUUGAAGACUAACUACUGCGAAAGCAUUUGCCAAGGAUGUUUUCAUUAAUCGAGAACGAAAGUUAGGGGAUCGAAGACGAUCAGAUACCGUCGUAGUCUUAACCAUAAACUAUGCCGACUAGGGAUCGGAUGAUGUUAAUUUUUUAAUGACUCAUUCGGCGCCUUACGGGAAAC
rnacentral:rRNA from 1 species